GAAAUGCGAUAAGUAGUGUGAAUUGCAGAAUUCAGUGAAUCAUCGAAUCUUUGAACGCACAUUGCGCCCCUUGGUAUUCCAUGGGGCAUGCCUGUUCGAGCGUCAUCUGUACCCUCAAGCUCUGCUUGGUGUUGGGUGUUUGUCCCCGUCUCCGCGCGUGGACUCGCCCCAAAGUGAUUGGCAGCCGGCGUACUGGUCCCGGAGCGCAGCACAUGUCGCGCAAACGAGUGCCUUGGUACGGCGGCGUCCAUAAGCCCCUCUCUCACGCUCUUGACCUCGGAUCAGGUAGGGAUACCCGCUGAACUUAAGC
rnacentral:misc_RNA from 1 species